CAAACCAAAGCUGGCGACCGGCGCACGGGUGAGUAACACGUAUCCAACCUGCCUCAUACUCGGGGAUAGCCUUUCGAAAGAAAGAUUAAUAUCCGAUAGCAUAUAUUUCCCGCAUGGGUUUUAUAUUAAAGAAAUUCGGUAUGAGAUGGGGAUGCGUUCCAUUAGUUUGUUGGGGGGGUAACGGCCCACCAAGCCUUCGAUGGAUAGGGGUUCUGAGAGGAAGGUCCCCCACAUUGGAACUGAGACACGGUCCAA
rnacentral:rRNA from 1 species